rnacentral:rRNA from 1 species
CAGCAGUCGCCACGGUAUACGAAGGGGGCUAGCGUUGUUCGGAAUUACUGGGCGUAAAGCGCACGUAGGCGGAUAUUUAAGUCAGGGGUGAAAUCCCGCAGCUCAACUGCGGAACUGCCUUUGAUACUGGGUAUCUUGAGUAUGGAAGAGGUUAGUGGAAUUGCGAGUGUAGAGGUGAAAUUCGUAGAUAUUCGCAGGAACACCAGUGGCGAAGGCGGCUAACUGGUCCAUAACUGACGCUGAGGUGCGAAAGCGUGGGGAGCAAACAGGAUUAGAUACCCCCGUAGUCCCUGUCUCUUAUACA